GGGCAGUAGAAGGAUUCUGAAUUUGAACUUGAGACAUGUUCACUUCCAACCAGAGCAAGUUACUGUAGGUAAACAGUUUUGAAUGCAGGCAAACUCAGUGCAAUGGAACCGAAUUGCUGACCUUUAGGGGAUCCAGUCAGUGAAGAUUUGGAUUUAGUUGUGAAUAGGGUAUUUAUGAUGGAGAAUCCCUGGCUGCCUGGGCUGCGGCUCCCGGGCCGGCUGCGGGGGCG
rnacentral:lncRNA from 1 species